CCCUGAAUUCACCAUUGAUAAACAAAAUUCCACGUUACGCAAAGAACUCAUACAAGCUGCAUCAAAACCUGGGUGUUUCCCUUUUUCUGGGAUAACCCUAAGAAUAAACAAUUAAUAAUUGAUUCCCACAACAUGAAUGGAACGAAUAAUGGAACUAAAUAGAACGCCUUCUCUAAGUAACUGGAUGUCAGUCUAUUAACACACAUGCCAUGGAAAGUCAGCUAGUCAGUAGCCAGUUUAUGUCAAAAUGUGGAGC
rnacentral:misc_RNA from 1 species